GAGGAAUAUUGGACAAUGGGUGAGAGCCUGAUCCAGCCAUCCCGCGUGAAGGACGACGGCCCUAUGGGUUGUAAACUUCUUUUGUAUAGGGAUAAACCUACUCUCGUGAGAGUAGCUGAAGGUACUAUACGAAUAAGCACCGGCUAACUCCGUGCCAGCAGCCGCGGUAAUACGGAGGGUGCAAGCGUUAUCCGGAUUUAUUGGGUUUAAAGGGUCCGUAGGCGGACUCGUAAGUCAGUGGUGAAAUCUCAUAGCUUAACUAUGAAACUGCCAUUGAUACUGCGGGUCUUGAGUAAAGUAGAAGUGGCUGGAAUAAGUAGUGUAGCGGUGAAAUGCAUAGAUAUUACUUAGAACACCAAUUGCGAAGGCAGGUCACUAUGUUUUAACUGACGCUGAUGGACGAAAGCGUGGGGAGCGAAC
rnacentral:rRNA from 1 species